rnacentral:rRNA from 1 species
CCUACGGGAGGCAGCAGUGAGGAAUAUUGGUCAAUGGACGAGAGUCUGAACCAGCCAAGUAGCGUGAAGGAUGACUGCCCUAUGGGUUGUAAACUUCUUUUAUAUGGGAAUAAAAUGUUCCACGUGUGGGCUUUUGUAUGUACCAUAUGAAUAAGGAUCGGCUAACUCCGUGCCAGCAGCCGCGGUAAUACGGAGGAUCCGAGCGUUAUCCGGAUUUAUUGGGUUUAAAGGGAGCGUAGGUGGUUUGUUAAGUCAGUUGUGAAAGUUUGCGGCUCAAACGUAAAAUUGCAGUUGAAACUGGCAGUCUUGAGUACAGUAGAGGUGGGCGGAAUGCGUGGUGUAGCGGUGAAAUGCUUAGAUAUCACGAAGAACUCCGAUUGCGAAGGCAGCUCACUGGACUGCAACUGACACUGAGGCUCGAAAGUGUGGGUAUCAAACAGGAUUAGAUACCCGAGUAGUC